AUUUUGAAAUUCCACGAGUUUGAUUCAACUUGCAGAUUGAGGUGUGAUUUUAUUUUGUUGUUAAGUAUUUUUGGAUUAAAACUAAGAGCGUUGAUUUAAGUUUGUAGUUUUGAAAUUUAGUUUCAAGGGUGUUCAAAUUCAGGACAAGAAAAAUUGUAAUGAUCCCCAAGAACAUAGGAAGUAAAAUAUUUUGAUGAUUAGCUUUUGAAAUUUCAUUUUUCCCAAAUCGAUAUCGACAUGGGUAUAAUAUAUAAGCCUUCCUCAUAUAGAUAUAUCUUCAUUUAAUGCACUUGGAUGCUUUAAUUUUUUAUGAUCAAUAGUUUUGGCUGAACAAUUUAUAUGUGCAGAGUAAUGAAAUUUAUCAUUGGUAUCAGUGACAUUCAAACACAUCUAUCUAAUGAAUGACUGAAAGGAUGGAUAUAAUUUGAAUUUUCUUUAUCACUGUGAUAAGCUAGGCUUAAGCGUUCAACUGGGUUCCUUUGCGGCUGGACUAAUUAUAUCAAGUACUGAUCUCAUAUGGUCAAGAAAUAUAUAAGUUGUCAUUAUACUCGAGAGAAAUUAAGUACAUGGACAACGUCAUUCGUCCUCUUUGUUUUUUUAUUUAUUUAUUUUUAAUUUAUUUCCCCCCUCAAUUUUUCUGCCAAGCUAUUUCAUUUGGUCUUUUAUUUUCCUACAGGUUUUCAUUUGAAAGGAAAGUAUUGCAUUCUUAUGAAUUCUACGUCGCUGCUCAGGAACUAGUUGAAACCUUAAACCUCAACAUAAUGAAGAUGAAGAUGAGCCGGAAACAGUGAAGUAGGAAAAUCUAGAUUCAAUAACAUGGUCUAUCUAAGUAUUUUGAAUAAUGAGCAGUUUAAUGCUGUUAAUCUUUUGAUCGUGGUAAUAUGUUGUUAAUUUACUUUCUCAAACAAUAGACAUGUAAAUAUUGAUAUAUAAAACUUAUUUUAUGUUAAA